rfam:Leucosporidium creatinivorum strain 62-1032 BCR35scaffold_13, whole genome shotgun sequence.
UGGGCGCGAGAGCGUCAGUG